GGACUACUCGGGUUUCUAAUCCCGUUCGCUCCCCUAGCUUUCGCGUUUCAGCGUCAGGUGCAGUCCAGGUGGCCGCUUUCGCCACUGGUGUUCCUCCGGAUCUCUACGCAUUUCACCACUACACCCGGAAUUCCACCACCCUCUACUGCCCUCUAGUCACGCAGUAUCGGACAACCUCUCCCGGUUGAGCCGAGAGAUUUCAUGCCCGACUUGCCCCACCGCCUGAACGCGCUUUACGCCCAGUAAAUCCGGAUAACGCUCGGUACCUACGUUUUACCGCGGCGGCUGGCAC
rnacentral:rRNA from 1 species